UACGAGGGGGGCGAGCGUUGUUCGGAAUUAUUGGGCGUAAAGGGUGCGUAGGCGGUUUGGUAAGUCUGAUGUGAAAUCUAUGGGCUCAACUCAUAGUCUGCAUCGGAAACUGCCGGGCUUGAGUGUGGGAGAGGUGAGUGGAAUUCCUGGUGUAGCGGUGAAAUGCGUAGAUAUCAGGAGGAACACCGAUGGCGAAGGCAGGUCUCUGGGCUGUAACUGACGCUGAGGAGCGAAAGCAUGGGGAGCGAACAGG
rnacentral:rRNA from 1 species